AGCAGCCGCGGUAAUUCCAGCUCCAAUAGCGUAUAUUAAAGUUGUUGCAGUUAAAAAGCUCGUAGUUGAAUUUCGGGAUCAAAUUGUCGGUCGUGCCUCGGUACGUACUGGUAUUAUUGGUUCCUCCCUUCUGACGAACCACGAUGUCAUUAAUUUGGUGUCAUGGGAAAUCAGGACUGUUACUUUGAAAAAAUUAGAGUGUUUAAAGCAGGCUCGCGCUUGAAUACAUUAGCAUGGAAUAAUGAAAUAGGACGUUUGAUUCUAUUUUGUUGGUUUCUAGGAUCGACGUAAUGAUUAAUAGGGAUAGUUGGGGGCAUUAGUAUUCAAUUGUCAGAGGUGAAAUUCUUGGAUUUAUUGAAGACUAACUACUGCGAAAGCAUUUGCCAAGGAUGUUUUCAUUAAUCAAGAACGAAAGUUAGGGGAUCGAAGACGAUCAGAUACCGUCGUAGUCUUAACCAUAAACUAUGCCGACUAGGGAUCGGAUGAUGUUAAUUUUUUUAAUGACUCAUUCGGCGCCUUA
rnacentral:rRNA from 1 species